ACAGAGGGUGCAAGCGUUAAUCGGAAUUACUGGGCGUAAAGCGCGCGUAGGCGGUUGUAUAAGUUGGAUGUGAAAUCCCUGGGCUUAACCUAGGCACUGCAUUCAAAACUGUACGGCUAGAGUGUAGGAGAGGAAGGUAGAAUUCCAGGUGUAGCGGUGAAAUGCGUAGAUAUCUGGAGGAAUACCGAUGGCGAAGGCAGCCUUCUGGCCUAACACUGACGCUGAGGUGCGAAAGCAUGGGGAGCAAACAGG
rnacentral:rRNA from 1 species